rfam:Myotis brandtii contig243144, whole genome shotgun sequence.
GAGACACCCUUAUAGGGCAGGACUUGCUUCAGUAGGGCUUUGGUGCUCACUGAGUCUGCCUUCUGAGUGUGUCUCU